CCUACGGGAGGCAGCAGUGGGGAAUAUUGCACAAUGGGCGCAAGCCUGAUGCAGCCAUGCCGCGUGUGUGAAGAAGGCCUUCGGGUUGUAAAGCACUUUCAGCGGGGAGGAAGGCGGUGAGGUUAAUAACCUCAUCGAUUGACGUUACCCGCAGAAGAAGCACCGGAUAACUCCGUGCCAGCAGCCGCGGUAAUACGGAGGGUGCAAGCGUUAAUCGGAAUUACUGGGCGUAAAGCGCACGCAGGCGGUCUGUCAAGUCGGAUGUGAAAUCCCCGGGCUCAACCUGGGAACUGCAUUCGAAACUGGCAGGCUAGAGUCUUGUAGAGGGGGGUAGAAUUCCAGGUGUAGCGGUGAAAUGCGUAGAGAUCUGGAGGAAUACCGGUGGCGAAGGCGGCCCCCUGGACAAAGACUGACGCUCAGGUGCGAAAGCGUGGGGAGCAAACAGGAUUAGAUACCCUAGUAGUC
rnacentral:rRNA from 1 species